UACGAAGGGGGGCUAGCGUUGCUCGGAAUCACUGGGCGUAAAGGGUGCGUAGGCGGGUCUUUUAAGUCAGGGGUGAAAUCCUGGAGCUCAACUCCAGAACUGCCUUUGAUACUGAGGAUCUUGAGUUCGGGAGAGGUGAGUGGAACUGCGAGUGUAGAGGUGAAAUUCGUAGAUAUUCGCAAGAACACCAGUGGCGAAGGCGGCUC
rnacentral:rRNA from 1 species